GAUGAACGCUGGCGGCGUGCCUAAUACAUGCAAGUCGAGCGAACAGAUAAGGAGCUUGCUCCUUUGAAGUUAGCGGCGGACGGGUGAGUAACACGUGGGUAACCUACCUAUAAGACUGGGAUAACUUCGGGAAACCGGAGCUAAUACCGGAUAACAUUUAGAACCGCGUGGUUCUAAAGUGAAAGAUGGUUUUGCUAUCACUUAUAGAUGGACCCGCGCCGUAUUAGCUAGUUGGUAAGGUAACGGCUUACCAAGGCGACGAUACGUAGCCGACCUGAGAGGGUGAUCGGCCACACUGGAACUGAGACACGGUCCAGACUCCUACGGGAGGCAGCAGUAGGGAAUCUUCCGCAAUGGGCAAAAGCCUGACGGAGCGACGCCGCGUGAGUGAUGAAGGGUUUCGGCUCGUAAAACUCUGUUAUUAGGGAAGAACAAAUGUGUAAGUAACUGUGCACAUCUUGACGGUACCUAAUCAGAAAGCCACGGCUAACUACGUGCCAGCAGCCGCGGUAAUACGUAGGUGGCAAGCGUUAUCCGGAAUUAUUGGGCGUAAAGCGCGCGUAGGCGGUUUCUUAAGUCUGAUGUGAAAGCCCACGGCUCAACCGUGGAGGGUCAUUGGAAACUGGGAAACUUGAGUGCAGAAGAGGAAAGUGGAAUUCCAUGUGUAGCGGUGAAAUGCGCAGAGAUAUGGAGGAACACCAGUGGCGAAGGCGACUUUCUGGUCUGUAACUGACGCUGAUGUGCGAAAGCGUGGGGAUCAAACAGGAUUAGAUACCCUGGUAGUCCACGCCGUAAACGAUGAGUGCUAAGUGUUAGGGGGUUUCCGCCCCUUAGUGCUGCAGCUAACGCAUUAAGCACUCCGCCUGGGGAGUACGACCGCAAGGUUGAAACUCAAAGGAAUUGACGGGGACCCGCACAAGCGGUGGAGCAUGUGGUUUAAUUCGAAGCAACGCGAAGAACCUUACCAAAUCUUGACAUCCUUUGAAAACUCUAGAGAUAGAGCCUUCCCCUUCGGGGGACAAAGUGACAGGUGGUGCAUGGUUGUCGCCAGCUCGUGUCGUGAGAUGUUGGGUUAAGUCCCGCAACGAGCGCAACCCUUAAGCUUAGUUGCCAUCAUUAAGUUGGGCACUCUAGGUUGACUGCCGGUGACAAACCGGAGGAAGGUGGGAUGACGUCAAAUCAUCAUGCCCCUUAUGAUUUGGGCUACACACGUGCUACAAUGGACAAUACAAAGGGCAGCUAAACCGCGAGGUCAUGCAAAUCCCAUAAAGUUGUUCUCAGUUCGGAUUGUAGUCUGCAACUCGACUACAUGAAGCUGGAAUCGCUAGUAAUCGUAGAUCAGCAUGCUACGGUGAAUACGUUCCCGGGUCU
rnacentral:rRNA from 1 species